rnacentral:rRNA from 1 species
AUUGAACGCUGGUGGCAGGCCUAACACAUGCAAGUCGAACGGAUGGCGGAAUGGUGAGGUAUGACUGGGAAACGUCCUGAUGGAGGGGGAUAACUAAUGGAAAAGGUUGGCAAUACCGCAAACCAUCAUAUGCGCCCAGCUGGGAUUGGCUUGUUGGGGGGGGAACGGCUCACCAAGGCGGCGAUCCAUAGCUGGUCUGAGAGGAUGACCAGCCACACUGGAACUGAGACACGGUCCAGACUCCUACGGGAGGCAGCAGUGGGGAAUAUUGGACAAUGGGCGCAAGCCUGAUGCAGCCAUGCCGCGUGUAUGAAGAAGGCCUUCGGGUUGUAAAGUACUUUCGGCGGGGAGGCGUUACCCACAGAAGAAGCACCGGCUAACUCCGUGCCAGCCGCCGCGGUAAUAC